GUGAGUAACACGUGGGUAACCUGCCUGUAAGACUGGGAUAACUCCGGGAAACCGGGGCUAAUACCGGAUGGUUGUUUGAACCGCAUGGUUCAAACAUAAAAGGUGGCUUCGGCUACCACUUACAGAUGGACCCGCGGCGCAUUAGCUAGUUGGUGAGGUAACGGCUCACCAAGGCAACGAUGCGUAGCCGACCUGAGAGGGUGAUCGGCCACACUGGGACUGAGACACGGCCCAGACUCCUACGGGAGGCAGCAGUAGGGAAUCUUCCGCAAUGGACGAAAGUCUGACGGAGCAACGCCGCGUGAGUGAUGAAGGUUUUCGGAUCGUAAAGCUCUGUUGUUAGGGAAGAACAAGUACCGUUCGAAUAGGGCGGUACCUUGACGGUACCUAACCAGAAAGCCACGGCUAACUACGUGCCAGCAGCCGCGGUAAUACGUAGGUGGCAAGCGUUGUCCGGAAUUAUUGGGCGUAAAGGGCUCGCAGGCGGUUUCUUAAGUCUGAUGUGAAAGCCCCCGGCUCAACCGGGGAGGGUCAUUGGAAACUGGGGAACUUGAGUGCAGAAGAGGAGAGUGGAAUUCCACGUGUAGCGGUGAAAUGCGUAGAGAUGUGGAGGAACACCAGUGGCGAAGGCGACUCUCUGGUCUGUAACUGACGCUGAGGAGCGAAAGCGUGGGGAGCGAACAGGAUUAGAUACCCUGGUAGUCCACGCCGUAAACGAUGAGUGCUAAGUGUUAGGGGGUUUCCGCCCCUUAGUGCUGCAGCUAACGCAUUAAGCACUCCGCCUGGGGAGUACGGUCGCAAGACUGAAACUCAAAGGAAUUGACGGGGGCCCGCACAAGCGGUGGAGCAUGUGGUUUAAUUCGAAGC
rnacentral:rRNA from 1 species